rnacentral:tRNA from 1 species
GCCUGGGUGGCUUAGUCGGUUGAGCAUUUGACUUUGGCUCAGGUAUGAUCUCGCGGUUCGUGAGUUCGAGCCCCACGUCAGGCU